rnacentral:rRNA from 1 species
UACGUAGGCAGCGAGCGUUGUUCGGAGUUACUGGGCGUAAAGAGUGCGUAGGCGGUUUUCUAAGUUUGGUGUGAAAUCUCCCGGCUCAACUGGGAGGGUGCGCCGAAGACUGGAAGGCUUGAGUAUGGGAGAGGUAAGCGGAAUUCCUGGUGUAGCGGUGAAAUGCGUAGAUAUCAGGAGGAACACCUGCGGUGUAGACGGCUUACUGGACCACAACUGACGCUGAGGCACGAAAGCGUGGGUAGCAAACAGG